rnacentral:rRNA from 1 species
CCUACGGGAGGCAGCAGUGAGGAAUAUUGGUCAAUGGGCGGAAGCCUGAACCAGCCAAGCAGCGUGCGGGAUGACGGCCCUACGGGUUGUAAACUGCUUUUAUAGGGGAAUAACGCGCCUUACGUGUAGCGCAUUGCAUGUACCGGAAGAAUAAGCACCGGCUAAUUCCGUGCCAGCAGCCGCGGUAAUACGGAGGGUCCGGGCGUUAUCCGGAUUUAUUGGGUUUAACGGGUGCGUAGGCGGGUGGUCAAGUCAGCGGUAAAAUUGCGGGGCUCAACCCCGCCGAGCCGGGGAAACUGGCAUGCUUGAGUUGGCGGAAAGCACGCGGAAUGCGCGGUGUAGCGGUGAAAUGCUUAGAUAUCACGAAGAACCCCGAUUGCGAAGGCAGCUUACUGGCGCGAGACUGACGCUGAUGCUCGAAAGCGUGGGUAUCGAACAGGAUUAGAUACCCUUGUAGUC